GUGUUAUAUGAAAGGAGAGAAGGUUAGCGCUCCCCUUGACAACGAUGGAAUCGGCCCUCAUGGCCUUCAACACAUGUACGGUUAAGGCAUCGCCCCCUGCUUUGUGAAAUCUCUAAGCAUGAUUUUAA